ensembl:lncRNA
GCCAUAUGCUGCAUCACAUGUCAGGCAGAGGACUGGGCGGGGGAGUUUCCCUACAUGGCUGGUGACGGCUGGAUCCUCACACAACAGCUCCUCCGGACAUCGGGCUCUAUUCAGCAGACACAGCUGUGUGGAACGCCAGAGAGGAGUGCAGCAUAUUUCCGGUGUGGCGGUCCUACAUGCCAUAGGACUCCAGUCAAACGCGAUGAAGCGCGCACAGUGCAUAGAACAGGGUAUCGCCUGUGACACGCGGGUGGGAGCCUGGCUUGUAGUGGCAGAGACGAUCUCGCAACCCGCUGUGUCGUUCGUAUUUCCUCCCAACCCUGGAACGACCUUAAGGAGGGUUGGGUCUGACCGGAGGUGCAGUGGCCCACCGCCCUGUGGUCACCCCAACCUGGUUAGGCUGUCAGUCAGGUUGCCACCAACAUGGGAGAUGAACAGAUAAUAAUCUGCAUAGGAACAGGCUGCACUCUGACUGAAUGCAGGGUUCUCUUGGUGGUCAACCCAUAAUUGUGGAAUUACGGAUUUUCGUCUUAUGCCCAGCGCCCCAGCUAAUGAAAGGAUGAACCAGGGAGGGACCCAGAUUCCCUUCAACAAGCAAUACGUUUUCCGUGAGUGGAUGCCGAGCCAUGGGCCUACACCAGCCUACACCAGCCUACACCAGACUACACCAGAUUACACCAGAUUACACCAGUUCACACCGGACUACACCAGACUACACCAUACUGUACAGGACAAAAUCAAAUGUCGGCGAUCCUGGUGGUACAACAAAGCGAGUCUCGGGGCGAACUGACGGUGAUGGGUUUCCAUGGUAACCAAACGCCGGUGAAGCUCAGCCCCAAGUGGAGUGACCAGCUGACCGCACAGUGCCUUGCAGACCGAGACGGAACGGUCGGAAACAGGGUGGGGGAGGGGGUUCUGCAGAGUCCGAACGGCUGGUCUCUCUGAAGACCAGCGUGAAAGAGAGAGGGAGAGAGAGGGAGAGAGAGAGGAGAGAGGGAGGGAGAGAGGGAAUGGGAGAAAUGGAGGGAGAGAAGACUGGCAUGCUACUGUGGCUUGGUUUGUGUUGGGAGUGCUGGAAGGAACAUCAUGCAAGAUAAUUUUCUAAUCUUCACAUCCAAAUGAUCCGGUCGGCCAAAUCACGGCCGGCGAUGCACAGUAAGGUCCCUGCGUUGGUGCGGAGAUAAUGACCGCCGGCUGCAUCCACCCAGCAGACUGUUUAUUUGGCACGUUAAUGAAUGCCGUCCCCUCGAUCGUCUGUCACGCUUCCCGAACGCUGUCACGACAACCAGCGGGGCCUGCGUAGGGUGAGGCGGCGAGUCGUGACGGGGGAGGAGGAAGAUGAUUAUCUCCGGGGUAGGCUGGUGAGAAGUCGGACGCGGCGAAUGGGAUGGACGCGAUGUGUCCGAUGUGCUUGACGCUGUUCCCAUUCAGUGCAUUCCAGCCGUCGCAAUUAGCGGACAGUUUGAGAGGAGGUGACAGUGGACACGUCACCCCUCCCCCACGAAUGACGCACAGCCUCCUUGGGUCAGUCGGUGUCAUUUUGUAAAUGUUAGAUUUCCAAGAUGCAGGAAUCACCCGAGUUUAGUGAAAAUGUGUCCAGUGGUGUCUGAGAUAUUGUGUGGGUUAUCAAGAUUCACUUCCCUGAGCAUGUGUGCCAAAUUUUUUACAGAGCAGUGGACAUAGUGUGUGCCUGUUUUAGCACCACCACAAGGUCGUUAUGAAUGUUGUUGCAUAUGUUGUGCCUUGGUAGUGUCUAAUAUGCAUACAUACAACAUUUUGGGCGACAUGACACCACUCAGAUGGCCACCUUUCUAGAUGCAUUAUUUCAGUCUACAGGGCUGGGAUUGUUGGCUGCAGACCAAACUUUGCUGACAUUAUCAAAUCACACAACGGAAUCCACUGGGUUCUGCUUGGCUGAAUUAACAACGAAAACCGCAAACUGUUUUUGUCCGUUCACCCCGAUCAACUACCCACACAUAUCCACUUAUCGUUACGAAAUAAUAAUAAUAAUCUCUUUUGUAAGGACGUCAUUGCUGGCUGCUAAACUGUGCAAAGAAUAAGAACAAUGGAGAGUGGGUGGAAGGAUUUAAUUGUAGCUACCAGUCCUUAGUUCAUUCAACAGCAACAAUACUGGCUGGGUUAAUUUAAACAGCAUCCAAAUGGGGGAGAUGUAAAAUGUCUUCCUUGUACCCGAGUACCUUGAGAAAUGCAUGUAAAAAACCUUUUCAUGCUGAUGCCAGAGGAAUUAGUAAUUUAUCAGUGAAAUGUGUGCUCUGUUGGACAGCAGGGUUCGUCCAGAAGGAGACCUUACUCCUUAUAUAGUGGGCCAGAUUUGACCAGGUCUCUGGUCAGGUCUCUGGUCAAAUGCAAUUUAAAAUAAAGGUAAUUAGGUGCACACCUGUAAAUGCAUGUAUGUCAAUAUGGAUUAUAUUCUGCGUAUUUUGUCUUAUAUUUUGUCUACCACCAGUAGCCCUGUCACAAAAUAAA